UACGAUAGGGGUUAGUAUUACCCCUAUCGUAGCAAUGUAGCAGUAGCA
rnacentral:ncRNA from 1 species